rnacentral:lncRNA from 1 species
CUUUCACGUUGAGUAAGACAGCCAGUGAGAACAGGCUCAUGUCCCGUGAGGGUCAUGCUCCCACUUUGCCUAGCAGGAUGUCACACAUCCUAGGAUUAACUCAAGCCAUGCAGAAUGGGAGGGGUUUGUAGCUGUCUCUGUCUGUGCUCUGACCAGCACAUAGACUCAACACCACUUGACACACAUGAGGGAAACUGAGGUUCUGCUCCAUAGACCCAGCAUCUCAGAAGGUCCUGGGUGUUACUUGCCCAGACCAGAUGCCCACCCCUUGUGGUCAUAGUCCCAGCCACGCUGGCAGUGAGAGAGACUCUGGGGUUAGGCUCUGUGAGAGUCAGCCCUUUGGUCAUACUUGUGGGUCUCCUCCCGUGCUCCAGCCAGUCACUACCUUGUCAGGAGCAAGAGUGGCCAACAGACUUCACCAAGUUGCGUUUUCCUGAGCCUAGAAGUAGAAAGCCAGAAAAACCGGCUGCUGCCAUCUCUAUUCUAACUUCAUCUUUCCCACAGCCCCCAAGAAGCCAUCCCAAGGGAAGAGGAAACCGAAGGAACCCCUGACACCGGCGGAAGGUCCCAGGAGCCCAAAGGAGGACUUCAGCCUCUCCCCCAUUAACAGCUGUCGGGAGACCUAACUCUCCAGACUGAGGGACACUG